AAGUCGUAACAAGGUUUCCGUAGGUGAACCUGCGGAAGGAUCAUUAACACGUAUCCAACGUUAAACCCCCCCGUGAAUAUUAAGCGUGCUCUUACAUCCUUGCACAACAGCAAUCUCUGGUAAAUCAUGUCGAACGGUUUGAUUCAGAGUAAAAACGAACAACUGUUAACAAUGGAUAUCUUGGUUCUC
rnacentral:misc_RNA from 1 species